UUCACUUGCACUUUUGUGGCACUUUUCACUAUUCUAUUAUAAUUAAUGAAAAACAUGAAAAGUAUAUAUAUUAUUUUCAAAAAAUAUUUUUUUCCCUGCAAUGGGGAUUGAACCCCCUACGGGGUUGGUGUGUGUACAUGCCUGACCGCUGCACUGCCUCCACUCUAUGAGCGGCCUUGAUAUAUCUUGUAAUCUGACACAUGCAUACAUACACGGUGCGCUCCCUUCCGAGCUUUGUCCUCUGUAUUUUCUUAUUCUCUUUUUCUCUAUUUUUUUGUUUUUAAUGGCGCCUCUCUUCUCCAUCUUCCACUACCUGAUUAUUUCAGGCACGAUAUGCUUUUAUAUCCGCGCGUGUCUUUUUCGGAUCCUAAUACCUUUAUUCUUGGUGCGCACCGCGCGUGCGCGGGUUAUUCCCUCUGUCUCGCGGGAUGACGAUGGUGGACGCACCUUGUCAUCGCGCACGCGCGAUGCGCACCAAGAUGGCGCCAGAUAUCGGGACCAUGUCACCGAUCCAGGUGAACUAUAUUGUAAUUAUUUACCUAUAGAUCCCUAUUGGUUGGUAUGUUGUAUAUAUACCCCCACAAACUAGACUAGGUCAUACUCCCUGAGGAAGCCAAACGGCGAAACGACGUUGGGGUACUGGUGUUGUGUAGGUAGGUACACUGUCUAUGUCUUCCAGCCUGUGCUCUGUGAGUGGGGAAGUUCUCUGGGUAUGCUUAUCCACUGUGCUUUAACUGCACAUCUUUACUUUCCUUUCCCCUUUCUCCUGACCACUCGCUGGAGGCUAUAUAUGCAGUGACCUUCUUUUCUAGGUUAGGUUUGCUUUGUGGUGCAAUUCUUUAUAGGACUGUGAUGUGUAACUUAUAAUUAUUGUUAUACUGGUGGCUCUACUGUAUAGUUAAGAAUAACUAUGUCAUAUUUUGCACCUUUGUAGCCAUACUAACCAAUAAUAUAUUACCUGCCUUAUCAACUCCUUUUUUGUCUGGCUAUACUGUCCCUUUUAAUUGUUUUUACUAAAUGAUGUUCUCAAUAAAGUUUUCUAUUUGUGUAUAAAAUUGGUGUUCCAGUGUGUAUAUAGGAUUUAUUUUUAGUCAUCAACACACUCGACUUUAAAUAUACUGGUAUUAUUUUGCCCUUUCUUUGGAUUUAUUAUUGAUUUCCUGUAUCUUUACAGAAGGUUUGUCCAUCAUGGACUUUCGGGCUAAGGAAGCUUCUUGGUUGGAGCAGGCUAAUCUUUUAUUCUCUGGGACAGCGAUAGCCAGUAAUGAUCCGGAUCAGUGCAAUAUUAGAGAACUGAAACAAUCUCUAAGGAAUCUAUCACACCGACAGAUGAAGACCUGGUGGAACCGGGCCUCUUUGGAGAACUACCUACAUAAACAUCUAAUACCUCGAGGACUACGAGUACAGAUUUUUCCCUCUUUUGGCCUUGACCAAGAAGUCUAUGUUAAGAAGUGGGAAGAGGCAUGCAAUACUUGUUCCAGGACACUCAUGAUGAUCAUCAUGGAACAUAAUACACAGGUACUCAUGGAGCUAGGUAUACAAAUUGAGAAGACAGAGACAGAUAUUGCUGCCAUCCUGCCAAAUAAUGACUACCCAUCAUUCAAGCAAGACUUGGAGGAAUCCCAAACCAUCUGGGAAAAACAAAUUAAGGCUACAAAAUCAAAAAAAUUCUUAAGAGACUCUAAUGACUUCUCUAAUAACAAGGUGUAUAAGUGGAAACGGGGUCCAGUGGAGAGACGACAAAGAUCACCUUCAGUCUCAUCAUCCGUUUCCACAGGAGUGGAAUCUGUGGCGUCAUCCAGGUCCUCUGCGAGAAAUGCACAAUAUGAUGGGAGACGACGCAACUACCGCAACAAAGCAAACACAAGAAAUGAAAGGCAGGAGAGAGUCAACACCAGGAGCAACGAUACUAACCGUAAGCGGUAAAAGAUCUGCAAUUAUUCGCACGGAAAUUAAUCUUUAAGAAACUGUUUCAUCCCUCCCCUAUACAAGCACCUUUAUCUUCAGCUCAGGCACCAGCAUCUCCCAAUACGAUCGCAGAAACUGAGGCACUACAAGCUCUUCAAGAUCUCCUAGAAGAACAGGAUACAUCAAAUACGGGAUACCACAGAUAUCCUAAAAAGAAUGGACGAUGUUCAAUUGGACAACGAAACCCUUCUGGUCACCUGUGAUGUGGAAGCUCUGUAUACAUCAAUCAGACACACGGAUGGAUUGGCGGCAACCCAAUUUUACCUUAUGAUGUCGGAUUUAGAUCCAGAACUGAGUGAGUUCAUUUUACAACUUCUUCAGUUCGCAUUAAUGCAUAACUUCUUUUUGUUCAGGGAUGUGGUCUUCCUACAGCUCCAGGGAACGGCGAUGGGGGCGGCCUGUGCGCCCUCAUACGCCAACCUUUUCCUGGGGCUGUGGGAGAGGACCAUAUUCAUGACUGAACCCGCCCCCCAUAUUGAAAAAGUUCUACAGUGGGGCCGCUAUAUAGAUGACAUUCUCUUUGUCUGGCAGGGCACGGCAGAAGAGUUGUCCACAUUUAUGACAUAUCUGAACACUAAUGAACUAAACAUAAAAUUGACCUAUAAAUGGGGGAGGUCGAAAAUGGAGUUCCUGGAUGUAUUGUUUGAUGUUGACCAAGAUGGGUAUAUCUCAACAGAUGUGUAUCGCAAAAAAACCUCUACCAAUACUCUUCUUCACGCUUCCUCUUCUCACCCCCAUGCACUUGUCUCCAAUAUCCCGACAGGUCAGUUCCUGCGAAUCCGACGGAUUUGUUCCACGGAUGAACACUUUGAAAAACAGGCUAAUGAUCUAUCUCUACGCUUUCAGGAACGGGGAUAUCAUGAAAGGGAUAUCACCAGAGGCUAUGCACGAGCUAAGGAUACACUACGAGGCAAUCUGCUUACCCAGUCCAAAAAGAAAAAGGGAAAUGACCAGGAGUGAUCUACUACGCCACCUGUCCUUGUAACAUGAUUUAUGUUGGACUUACCUGCAGGGAAUUCCGUCGGAGAAUACGGGAACAUGUCCUAGGAAUUGAAGCAGCCAAGGAGGAAAUAGAUCUACAGAAGCUAAAAACCAUACCCCGCCACUUUCGUCAGUACCAUGAUUGCAACAGUACCCUCUUCAAGGGUUUCAAAAUUGGUCUCGUAUCCAAAAGAGUCUGGAAAUUUGAAGAGAGCAUUGAUGACCAUCAGCAGCAAAGCACUUGUCACUUUAUUGAGUAGAGCCACCAGUAAUCGGGUAUUAUAGGAAUUAUUGCUAUACAUAGUAUUGUUGAAUAAAAUUAUUGAUAUAUAUUCCUCUGUCUUUGGAGGUGUUGAUUAACAGUUGUUUUGUCUGAUACACUUCGACAUAUAUACAUACAGCCACUAAUUAUCUAAUUCUUAUACAUAAUAAAUGUUUAUAUUGUUCAUUCACCUCUAGUACACGAUAGGCUAUGGGGUACAUCACUUUUCCCAUUCAACAUCACUAACACCCAAGUCCGCACAUAUACUAUUUGUAUCUACUUUAUAAACUACUUUUAUAUACGUCAAGCAUUCACUAUACACUUUAAUAAAUCACAUAUCUUCACUUAUACACACUUAUCACUUUAACCCCCCUUAUUUCGCUUUUUUUAGCGAAGAAUUCAGUCAGCAACACUACAACAUUAGGUUCAUUAUUUUGUAUGUGUCACCUUUUUUGCACUGUUUUUUUCACUUUUUCUCUCAUUUUCCUCUGCAUGUCUCACUUUUAUUCACUUGCACUUUUGUGGCACUUUUCACUAUUCUAUUAUAAUUAAUGAAAAACAUGAAAAGUAUAUAUAUUAUUUUCAAAAAAUAUUUUUUUCCCUGCAAUGGGGAUUGAACCCCCUACGGGGUUGGUGUGUGUACAUGCCUGACCGCUGCACUGCCUCCACUCUAUGAGCGGCCUUGAUAUAUCUUGUAAUCUGACACAUGCAUACAUACACGGUGCGCUCCCUUCCGAGCUUUGUCCUCUGUAUUUUCUUAUUCUCUUUUUCUCUAUUUUUUUGUUUUUAAUGGCGCCUCUCUUCUCCAUCUUCCACUACCUGAUUAUUUCAGGCACGAUAUGCUUUUAUAUCCGCGCGUGUCUUUUUCGGAUCCUAAUACCUUUAUUCUUGGUGCGCACCGCGCGUGCGCGGGUUAUUCCCUCUGUCUCGCGGGAUGACGAUGGUGGACGCACCUUGUCAUCGCGCACGCGCGAUGCGCACCAAGAUGGCGCCAGAUAUCGGGACCAUGUCACCGAUCCAGGUGAACUAUAUUGUAAUUAUUUACCUAUAGAUCCCUAUUGGUUGGUAUGUUGUAUAUAUACCCCCACAAACUAGACUAGGUCAUACUCCCUGAGGAAGCCAAACGGCGAAACGACGUUGGGGUACUGGUGUUGUGUAGGUAGGUACACUGUCUAUGUCUUCCAGCCUGUGCUCUGUGAGUGGGGAAGUUCUCUGGGUAUGCUUAUCCACUGUGCUUUAACUGCACAUCUUUACUUUCCUUUCCCCUUUCUCCUGACCACUCGCUGGAGGCUAUAUAUGCAGUGACCUUCUUUUCUAGGUUAGGUUUGCUUUGUGGUGCAAUUCUUUAUAGGACUGUGAUGUGUAACUUAUAAUUAUUGUUAUACUGGUGGCUCUACUGUAUAGUUAAGAAUAACUAUGUCAUAUUUUGCACCUUUGUAGCCAUACUAACCAAUAAUAUAUUACCUGCCUUAUCAACUCCUUUUUUGUCUGGCUAUACUGUCCCUUUUAAUUGUUUUUACUAAAUGAUGUUCUCAAUAAAGUUUUCUAUUUGUGUAUAAAAUUGGUGUUCCAGUGUGUAUAUAGGAUUUAUUUUUAGUCAUCAACACACUCGACUUUAAAUAUACUGGUAUUAUUUUGCC